CACUGAGCAGGCGCACUCGUACCCCGGCCCCACCCCUCCGCCGGCGCCGCCUGUGCGCACGCGUGCUUUCUCCUGGUAGCGCGCGCUACCCCCCUCCAACCCUUCCACGUCCUCCCCGGUUCUGGCGGGCCGGCCUAGCGCCAGAAGCCUGCGCUGCCCACCCUGCAAAAUGGCGACGGCAGCCCUUGGCUGUACUAGUGUGCCCCCACGUAAGAUCCUGUGUGGCAGAUGUGACUACCCCCACUCUGGAGACCAGACAACAGUCCAGAAGAGAUGAAGCAAGGUGCCCAAAUGGAAGAAGUGGUUCCCUUCAGGAAUUUGACUAAAGACCUGACUAAAUAUAAGUAGACCAUAAAACAAAUGACCCACAUGGAACAGUAUGGCCAUAGACCACCUACAAUGGAAACAAGCCAAUCAGUAAUGGGCAGCCCCGCACCUAGAGCUAUCAAGCCAAUAAGGGUAGGACGUGAGAAGAAACAAGGUGGAAGGGAAGGGGGGGGCAGCCAAAACCUUAUAAAACAAAGACUCUUGUCUAUUGUCACCGGCAUUCACUUUAGAAUGCCCCCACUUCCCCCUCUCUGUUAAAAGAGCUUUCAUACUAUUUUUCCUUUCUCAUCUUACACUCUAAUAAACUUUUGCCUGCUGCUCA